GUGGCGAAAAACACACGAACUGGACUCUAACAAAGACCUCGACUAGGACACAAACUCAACACUGCGGACUCUGAAACUGAAAUAUGCAAAGGCUAUGGCGCGGAAGGGUGGUAGGACAGGAAAAUGAUAUGGUACUGGACUUAUGGGACGAACACAAGAACACUCCAAACUAAGGGUAGAUGUGAACCUAAUGUUAUACCUAAAGCUCUGAUUACCACUUGAUGAGAACAAGGGUGGCCCGAUCUUCUGAAAGGUUCUAGUACCUCUCGAUUUGGUGGAGACGAGACACAAAUCGAUCCGGCUUCCGAACAACAUGAUCCGAAACCCUACAUUUUUUUUUAUUUUUUUGAUGUUUUUCUUUUAGUUAGGAGCACCAAAGAAGUAACCACAUAAAAUUUGAGCUUAAACAAGUGAAAAACAUGGCCUGUGGAAUUAUCUGAAGAUUGUGAAAAAUGUGAAAAAACUUCACGAGGUGAAAACUCAAACUUUGGAGGUGAAUUUGCAGGUUCUAAAAUUUUCAAACCCACCAAAAGCUAGGACACACACAUCCAAAAUUUUUUUCUGAUCGAUUUUGAUAUAUGCAACGUUAAAAUCGGAGUUCGUAUGUGAAAGUUAUGGCUAUUUUACGAACGGACUCCGAAUUAGAGGACAAAACGGUCUGAAAGUGGGAAAAAUUUGCGGUGGUGGCUAGAAAUUGAUGGAAACGGUGGGGAAAAACACACGAACUGGACUCUAACUAGACCUAACCAGCAACAGGACCUCAACAAGAACACAAACUCAACACUGCGGACUCUGAAACUGAAAUAUGCAAAGGCUUUGGCGUGAAAGGGUUGUAGGACACGAAAAUGAUAUAGCACUGGACUUAUGGUACAAACACAAGAACACUCGAAACUAAGGGUGGAUGUGAACCUAACGGUAUACCUAAAACUUUGAUUACCACUUGAUGAGAACAUGAGUGACCUGAUCUUUCAAAAGGUUCUGGUAACUCUAGAUUUGGUGGAGACGAGAAACAAAUCGAUCCGGCUUCCGAACAACAUCAUAUGAAACCGUGCAAUUUUUUUAUUUUUUUGAUAUUUUUCUUUUAGUUAUGAGCACCAAAGGAGUAACCACAGAAAAUUUGAGCUUAAACAAGUGAAAGACAUGGCCUGUGGAAUUUUUUGAAGAUUGUGAAAAAUGUGAAAAAAACUUCACGAGGUGAAAACUCAAACUUUGGAGGUGAAUUUUGAGGUUCUAAAAUUUUCAAACCCAACAAUGGAGGGGACAGACAGAUCCAAAAAAAAUUUCGGAUCGAUUUUGAUAUAUGGAACGUUGAAAUCGGAGUUCGUAUGCGAAAGUUAUGGCUAUUUUACGUACGGACUACGAAUUAGAGGACAAAACCGUCCGAAAGUGGGAGAAAUUUGCGGUGGUGGCUAGAAAUUGAUGGAAACGGUAGGGGAAAACACACGAACUGGACUGUAAUAAGACCUAACCAGCAACAAGACCUCGACCAGGACAAACUCAACAAUGCGGACUCUGAAACUAAAAUAUGCAGAGGCUAUGGCGUGGAAGGGUUGUAGGACAGGAAAACGAUAUGUUACUGGACUUAUGGGACGAACACAGGAACACUCGAAACUAAGGGUAGAUGUGAAACUAAUGGUAUACCUAAAGCUUUGAUUACCACUUGAUGAGAAAAAGGGUGGCCCGAUCUUUCGAAAGGUUCUGGUAACUCUCGAUUUGGUGGAGACGAGACACAAAUCGAUCCGGCUUCCGAACAACACGAUCUGAAACCCUACAGUUCUUUUUUAUUUUUUUAAUAUUUUUCUUUUAGUUAGGAGCACCGAAAGAGUAACCACAUAAAAUUUGAGUUCAGACAAGUGAAAGACACGGCCUGCGGAAUUUUCUGAAGAUUGUGAAAAAUGUGAAAAAAACAUCACGAGGUGAAAACGCAAACUUGGGAGGUGAAUUUGGAGGUCCUAAAAUUUUCAAACUUGCCAAAGGCAGGGACAUACAGAUCUGAAUUUUUUUUCUGAUCGAUUUUGAUAUAUGGAACGUUGAAAUCGGAGUUCGUAUGGGAAAGUUAUGGCUAUUUUACGAACGGACUCCGAAUUAGAGGACAAAAUGGUCCAAAAGUGGGAAAAAUUUGCGGUGGUGGCUAGAAAUUGAUGGAAACGGUGGGGAAAAACACACGAACUAGACUCUAACAAGACCUAACAAGCAACAAGACCUCAACCAAGACACAAACUCAACACUGCGGACUCUGAAACUGAAAUAUGCAAAGGCUAUGGCGCGUAAGGGUUGUAGGACAUGAAAACGAUAUGGCCCUGGACGUUUGGGACGAACACAAGAACACUCGAAACUAAGGGUAGAUGUGAACCUAACAGUAUACCUAAAGCUUUGAUUACCACUUGAUGAGAACAAGGGUGACCUCAUCUUCCAAAAGGUUUGUAACUCUCGAUUUGGUGCAGACGAGACACAAAUCGAUCCGGAUUCCGAACAACACGAUCCAAAACCCUACAAUUUUUUUUAUUUUUUCGAUAUUCUUCUUUUAGUUAGGAGUAACCACAGAAAAUUUGAGCUUAAACAAGUGAAAGACAUGGCCUGUGGAAUUUUCUGAAGAUUGUGAAAAAUGUGAAAAAAACUUCACGAGGUGAAAACUCAAAGUUCGGAGGAGAAUUUUAAGGUUCUAAAAUUUUCAAACCUCCCUACAAUGGGGACAUGCAGAUCCGAAAUUUUUUUCUGAUCGAUUUUGAUAUAUGGAACAUUGAAAUCGGAGUUCGUAUGCGAAAGUUAUGGCUAUUUUACAAACGAACUCUGAAUUAUAGGACAAAACGGUCCGAAAGUGGAAAAAAUUUGCGGCGGUGGCUAGAAAUUGAUGGAAACAAAGGGGAAAAGACACAAACUGGACUCUAACAAGACCUAUCCAGCAACAAGACCUCGACCAGGACAAACUCAACACUGCAGACUCUAAAACUGAAAUAUGCAGAGGCUAUGGCGCGGAAGGGUUGUAGGACUGGAAAACGAUAUGUUAUUGGACUUAUGGGACGAACACAGGAACACUCGAAACAAAGGGUAGAUGUGAACCUAAUGGUAUACCUAAUGCUUUGAUUACCACUUGAUGAGAACAAGGGUGGCCUGAUCUUCCGAAAGGUUCUGGUAACUCUCGAUUUGGUGGAGACGAGACACAAAUCGAUCCGGCUUCCGAACAACACGAUCCGAAACCUUGCAAUUGUUUUUUAUUUUUUUGAUAUUUUUAUUUUAGUUAGGAGCACCAAAAGAGUAACCACAUAAAAUUUGAGUUUAAACAAGUGAAAAACAUGGCCUGUGGAAUUAUCUGAAGAUUGUGAAAAAUGUGAAAAAACUUCACGAGGUGAAAACUCAAACUUUGGAGGUGAAUUUGCAGGUUCUAAAAUUUUCAAACCCACCAAAAGCUAGGACACACAGAUCCAAAAAUUUUUUCUGAUCGAUUUUGAUAUAUGGAACGUUGAAAUAGGAGUUCGUAUGGGAAAGUUAUGGCUAUUUUACGAACGGACUCCGAAUUAGAGGACAAAACGGUCCAAAAGUGGGAAAAAUUUGCGGUGGUGGCUAGAAAUUGAUGGAAACGGUGGGGAAAAACACACGAACUGGACUCUAACUAGACCUAACCAGCAACAGGACCUCAACAAGAACACAAACUCAACACUGCGGACUCUGAAACUGAAAUAUGCAAAGGCUUUGGCGCGAAAGGGUUGUAGGACACGAAAAUGAUAUAGCACUGGACUUAUGGUACAAACACAAGAACACUCGAAACUAAGGGUGGAUGUGAACCUAACUGUAUACCUAAAACUUUGAUUACCACUUGAUGAGAACAAGAGUGACCUGAUCUUCCAAAAGGUUCUGGUAACUCUAGAUUUGGUGGAGACGAGAAACAAAUCGAUCCGGCUUCCGAACAACAUCAUAUGAAACCGUGCAAUUUUUUUAUUUUUUUGAUAUUUUUCUUUUAGUUACGAGCACCAAAGGAGUAACCACAGAAAAUUUGAGCUUAAACAAGUGAAAGACGUGGCCUGUGGAAUUUUUUGAAGAUUGUGAAAAAUGUGAAAAAAACUUCACGAGGUGAAAACUCAAACUUUGGAGGUGAAUUUUGAGGUUCUAAAAUUUUCAAACCCAACAAUGGAGGGGACAGACAGAUCC
rnacentral:lncRNA from 1 species